AGCUUUGCGCAGUGGCAGUAUUGUAGCCAAUGAGGCUUAUCCGAGGUGCGAUUAUUGCUAAUUGAAAACAAGCAUUGAUAGGCCAAGAUGAAAUGUAGUAAGGAUUGAUGCAAGAUCUUGUACUUCAUUUCAAAAGAAUGCACAAG
rnacentral:snRNA from 1 species